rnacentral:tRNA from 1 species
UCCCUGGUGGCCUAGCAGUUAAGGUGCAGCAUUGUUGCUGCUGUGGCUUGAGUUCAGUCCCUGUCCUGGGAA